CCUAGUAACUGCGAGUGAAGCGGGAAAAGCUCAAAUUUAAAAUCUGGUGGUCCUUGUGGCCGUCCGAGUUGUAAUCUAGAGAAGCGCUAUCCGCGCCGGACCGUGUACAAGUCUCCUGGAACGGAGCGUCAUAGAGGGUGAGAAUCCCGUCUUUGACACGGACUACCGGGGCUUUGUGAUGCGCUCUCAAAGAGUCGAGUUGUUUGGGAAUGCAGCUCUAAAUGGGUGGUAAAUUCCAUCUAAAGCUAAAUAUUGGCGAGAGACCGAUAGCGAACAAGUACCGUGAGGGAAAGAUGAAAAGAACUUUGGAAAGAGAGUUAAACAGUACGUGAAAUUGUUGAAAGGGAAACGCUUGAAGUCAGUCGCGUUGGCCGGGGAUCAACCUUGCUCUUUUGCUUGGUGUACUUUCCGGUCGAUGGGUCAGCAUCAAUUUUGAUUGAUGGAUAAAGGCCAGGGGAAUGUGGCAUCUUCGGAUGUGUUAUAGCCCUUGGUCGCAUGCAUCGGUUGGGAUUGAGGAACUCAGCACGCCGCAAGGCCGGGUUUUAAACCACGUACGUGCUUAGGAUGCUGGCAUAAUGGCUUUAAUCGACCCGUCUUGAAACACGGACCAAGGAGUCUAACAUGCCUGCGAGUGUUUGGGUGGUAAACCCGGACGCGCAAUGAAAGUGAAAGUUGAGAUCCCUGUCGCGGGG
rnacentral:rRNA from 1 species